CACGAACCGUACGAACGUUAUUCGGAAUUACUGGGCUUAAAGGGUUUGUAGGCGGCCUUGUAAGUCAGGUGUGAAAGCCCUCGGCUCAACCGAGGAACAGCGCUUGAUACUGCAAGGCUUGAGGGAGACAGGGGUAAGCGGAACUGAUGGUGGAGCGGUGAAAUGCGUAGAUAUCUGGAGGAACACCGGUGGCGAAGGCGGCAUCGUGGACCGACACUGACGCUGAGGCGCGAAAGCUAGGGGAGCAAACGGG
rnacentral:rRNA from 1 species